rnacentral:lncRNA from 1 species
CUGGCAUUUACAUUUUUCAGGGGGUGAUGCCAACAAGAAUCCUCUAAAUUUUUCAUCUAUUUGAAGGUGAUUACUGAUUAUUUAUAUUGCCGAUGAUUUUUUAACCAGAGGUUAUGGUAUGUUAAAAAUCAAAAACGGAAAUAUUAUACAGUGUCUUUAACAAUAAUAAAAGAGUAAAAUUACUAUAUUCAACUGGUAACGAUAUAUAUCAAUUAAAUUAAUU